rnacentral:rRNA from 1 species
UGCAGUCGAGCGGUAGCACAAGAGAGCUUGCUCUCUGGGUGACGAGCGGCGGACGGGUGAGUAAUGUCUGGGAAACUGCCUGAUGGAGGGGGAUAACUACUGGAAACGGUAGCUAAUACCGCAUAACGUCGCAAGACCAAAGAGGGGGACCUUCGGGCCUCUUGCCAUCAGAUGUGCCCAGAUGGGAUUAGCUAGUAGGUGGGGUAAUGGCUCACCUAGGCGACGAUCCCUAGCUGGUCUGAGAGGAUGACCAGCCACACUGGAACUGAGACACGGUCCAGACUCCUACGGGAGGCAGCAGUGGGGAAUAUUGCACAAUGGGCGCAAGCCUGAUGCAGCCAUGCCGCGUGUGUGAAGAAGGCCUUCGGGUUGUAAAGCACUUUCAGCGAGGAGGAAGGUGGUGAACUUAAUACGUUCAUCAAUUGACGUUACUCGCAGAAGAAGCACCGGCUAACUCCGUGCCAGCAGCCGCGGUAAUACGGAGGGUGCAAGCGUUAAUCGGAAUUACUGGGCGUAAAGCGCACGCAGGCGGUUUGUUAAGUCAGAUGUGAAAUCCCCGGGCUCAACCUGGGAA